UGGGCUCUGAGGCGCUCGUAGGUCCGCACUAGGUCUCUGCGGGGGCAGGAGCGGGAGCCAUGGGCGGGACUGCCAGCACCCGUCGGGUCACUUUUGAGGCGGACGAGAAUGAGAACAUUACCAUGGUGAAGGGCAUCCGGCUUUCGGAAAAUGUGAUUGAUCGAAUGAAGGAAUCCUCUCCAUCUGGUUCGAAGUCUCCGCGGUAUUCUGGUGUUUAUGGUGCCUCAGUUUCUGAUGAAGAAUUGAAAAGAAGAGUAGCUGAGGAGCUGGCGUUGGAGCAAGCCAAGAAAGAAGCUGAAAAUCAGAAGCGACUAAAGCAAGGCAAAGAUGUGGACCGAGAGUGGGCAGCUGCCAAUGAGCAGUUAACCAGGGCUAUCCUUCGAGAGAGGAUAUCAAGUGAGGAAGAACGUGCUAAGGCAAAGCACCUGGCUAAGCAGCUGGAAGAGAAAGACCGAGUGCUAAAGAAGCAGGAUGCAUUCUACAAAGAGCAGCUGGCUAGACUGGAGGAGAGGAGCUCAGAGUUCUACAAAGUCACCACUGAGCAAUAUCAGAAAGCUGCUGAGGAGGUGGAAGCAAAGUUCAAGCGGUAUGAGUCUCAUCCAGUCUGUGCUGACCUGCAGGCCAAGAUUCUUCAGUGCUACCGCCAGAACGCCCACCAGACCCUCAGGUGCUCUGACCUGGCCAGCCAGUACAUGCACUGCGUCAAUCAUGCCAAAGAGGUGGGUGUGCCAGCCAGGCCAGCGGGGCUCCAGGAGAAUAGAGAGCCUGACGUCAUGGGGCAGUGA